rnacentral:rRNA from 1 species
AUUGAACGCUGGCGGCAAGCCUAACACAUGCAAGUCGAACGAGUGGCGGACGGGUGAGUAAUGUCUGGGAAACUGCCUGAUGGAGGGGGAUAACUACUGGAAACGGUAGCUAAUACCGCAUACCAUCGGAUGUGCCCAGAUGGGAUUCGCCAGUAGGUGGGGUAAAUGCUCACCUAGGCGACGAUCCCUAGCUGGUCUGAGAGGCUGACCAGCCACACUGGAACUGUGGCACGGUCCAGACUCCUACGGUAGGCAGCAGUGGGGAAUAUUGCACAAUGGGCGCAAGCCGAAUGCAGCCAUGCCGCGUGUAUGAAGAAGGCCUUCGGGUUGUAAAGUACUUUCAGCGGGGAGGCGUUACCCGCAGAAGAAGCACCGGCUAACUCCGUGCCAGCCGCCGCGGUAAUUC